rnacentral:rRNA from 1 species
CCUACGGGAGGCAGCAGUGAGGAAUAUUGGUCAAUGGGCGCGAGACUGAACCAGCCAAGCCGCGUGAAGGAUGAAUGUACAGAGGGUCGUAAACCUCUUUUGUCAAGGAACAAAGAGUGGCACGCGUGCCCUUAUGUGUGUACCAUAUGAAUAAGCAUCGGCUAACUCCGUGCCAGCAGCCGCGGUAAUACGGAGGAUGCGAGCGUUAUCCGGAUUUAUUGGGUUUAAAGGGUGCGCAGGGGGUUAAGUAAGUCAGCGGUGAAAGCUCGUGGCUCAACCCCAAAAGUGCCGUUGAAACUGGUAGACUUGAGUAUAAGUGAGGUAUGCGGAAUGCGUGGUGUAGCGGUGAAAUGCAUAGAUAUCGCGCAGAACUCCGAUUGCGAAGGCAGCUUGCUGGACUAUAACUGACACUGAGGCACGAAAGCGUGGGUAUCGAACAGGAUUAGAUACCCGUGUAGUC